rnacentral:rRNA from 1 species
GACGAACGCUGGCGGCGUGCCUAAUACAUGCAAGUCGAACGGUCUUUUCUAUGGAAGCUUGCUUCCACUGAGAAGAUAGUGGCGAACGGGUGAGUAACACGUGGGUAACCUGCCCAUAAGAGGGGGAUAACAUCCGGAAACGGGUGCUAAUACCGCAUAGUUUUCUUGAUCGCAUGAUUGAGAAAGGAAAGACGGCCUUUGUGCUGUCGCUUAUGGAUGGACCCGCGGCGUAUUAGUUAGUUGGUGAGGUAACGGCUCACCAAGACGAUGAUACGUAGCCGACCUGAGAGGGUGAUCGGCCACAUUGGGACUGAGACACGGCCCAAACUCCUACGGGAGGCAGCAGUAGGGAAUCUUCCGCAAUGGACGAAAGUCUGACGGAGCAACGCCGCGUGAGUGAAGAAGGUUUUCGGAUCGUAAAACUCUGUUGUCAGAGAAGAACAAGUUGGAGAGUAACUGCUCCAGCCUUGACGGUAUCUGACCAGAAAGCCACGGCUAACUACGUGCCAGCAGCCGCGGUAAUACGUAGGUGGCAAGCGUUGUCCGGAUUUAUUGGGCGUAAAGCGAGCGCAGGCGGUUCCUUAAGUCUGAUGUGAAAGCCCACGGCUCAACCGUGGAAGGUCAUUGGAAACUGGGGAACUUGAGUGCAGAAGAGGAGAGUGGAAUUC